rnacentral:lncRNA from 1 species
AAAAAAAGAAAAAAGUGUGUGCUAAAAAAUUCAUCAGGUACUAAAGAGUGUACGGUGGAAAGUAAGUCUUUCUCCUACACUCAGAUCAUGGAUGGAUGUCUCAGGUCUUCCCAGGCACAUUUGAUGUUAUGUACCAGCCAUAUGCAUGUGUGUGUCAUUUAUUUUUCACUCUACACAAGUAGUACCUAAUAUGGUGAGGUUGUUAUGAUUACAGACUCUGGAGGCAAAGUUCCUGGGUAUAAAUCUGAACUCUGUCACUCCCAAGCUAAGUGGCUUUGGGCAAGUGAUUUCACCUCCAUGUGCCUCAGUUUGCUAGUCUGUACAAUGGGAUGGUAAUAGCACCUACCUCAUGGACUUGAGAAGUCAGCAACUUCAUACCUCUAAAGCCCUUAGAGCUAGCAGUGUGUGGCACUCAAUAAAAUGUUGACUAAUGAUGAUUCUCA